GAGCCGUUAGCUCAGUCGGUAGAGCAUCUGACUUUUAAUCAGAGGGUCAGAGGUUCGAAUCCUCUACGGCUCACCA
rnacentral:tRNA from 1 species